rnacentral:misc_RNA from 1 species
GUCAUGUUCGUCGGAGACUCACUGGGGAGGAAUCAAUGGGAGUCGCUGAUCUGCAUGGUUCAUGCUGCGGCGGCGCAGUCGGCAACUCAGAUGAUUAGAGGGGACCCUCUCUCGAGCUACAAGUUUCUGGAAUAUGGAGUCUCUCUCUCCUUCUACCGCGCUCCUUAUCUAGUAGACAUCGAUAUUAUUGAAGGAAAGCGAAUUCUACGACUUGACGACAUCUCUGCAAAUGCCAACAUGUGGAAGACCGC